CUCACAAGAUUUUGCCACUUGACGUAAAUCUAACAAUCCACAUUUUUUAUAAAUAGGGACCCCUUUUCACCAUUUCUUCACCACUCCAACUUCAUUCUUCCAUCCACCAAUGAAUUUCAAAAGAGAGAAGUGGAAGGAAUAAAAGAAGGAAAGAUGUAGGAAAAACUUCAAGGUUUCGGUUAGGAUUUUAGUAUUUAUUUUUACAUACUAAAGAGUAUUUCUAGAUUAAAUUUAAUGGAAUCUUAAUCGGUUGAUUGCAUACCUAAUUUUAUAUGAUUUAACACAAUUAUUAUGUGCUAAUGCAUGUUUAUAUGAACGAAUAUAAACUGGUUAUUUGCAUGUUUAACUAUAAUAAUUAUUUAUGCAUAUGAUAGAAGUUAAUGCAUUUUGCAUUGUUUGAUGACAAGAUAAAUUAACA
rnacentral:lncRNA from 1 species